GGGCUGACCUGGCUGAGAAGAGCCCGAGAUCAUGAAGGUGGUUUGCCCAGGGUGAGGCUUAGCCUUUGUACACUGGUGGGCUGACACCUGUGAUUUCCCCAAAUGUGGGAAACUUGAUGGCCCGAUUUAUGGGAGUGGGGACUGUGUUGGGACUCUCCCCU
rnacentral:snRNA from 1 species